UACGAAGGGUGCAAGCGUUAAUCGGAAUUACUGGGCGUAAAGCGUGCGUAGAUGGUUCGCUAAGUCGGAUGUGAAAGCCCCGGGCUCAACCUGGGAACUGCAUCCAAAACUACUGAGCUAGAGUACGGUAGAGGGUAGUGGAAUUUCCUGUGUAGCGGUGAAAUGCGUAGAUAUAGGAAGGAACACCAGUGGCGAAGGCGACUACCUGGACUGAUACUGACACUGAGGUGCGAAAGCUGGGGAGCAAACAGGAUUAGAUACCCGGGUAGU
rnacentral:rRNA from 1 species